CUCGACCUGUUUGCAGGCGUUCC
rnacentral:rRNA from 1 species